GGGGAUGUGGUCUAGUGGUAUGACGUUUCCUUAGCAUGUCUCGAAUGAGCAUGGAAAAGGUUCUGGGUUCGAUUCCCAGCUUCUCCA